rnacentral:rRNA from 1 species
AGCGAACGCUGGCGGCAGGCUUAACACAUGCAAGUCGAACGGGCUUCUUCGGAAGUCAGUGGCAGACGGGUGAGUAACACGUGGGAACGUGCCCUUCGGUUCGGAAUAACUCAGGGAAACUUGAGCUAAUAACGGAUACGCCCUUUUGGGGAAAGGUUUACUGCCGAAGGAUCGGCCCGCGUCUGAUUAGUUUGUUGGUGGGGUAACGGCCUACCAAGGCGACGAUCAGUAGCUGGGCUGAGAGGAUGAGCAGACACACUGGGACUGAGACACAGCCCAGACUCCUACGCGAUGCAGCAGUGGGGAAUAUUGGAACAUGGGCGCAAUGCUGAACCAGCCAUGCCGGGUGAGUGAUGAAGGCCUUAAGGUUGUAAAGCUCUUUUGUCCGGGACGAUAAUGACGGUACCGGAAGAAUAAGCCCCGGCUAACUUCGUG